rnacentral:rRNA from 1 species
UACGGAGGGUGCAAGCGUUAUCCGGAUUCACUGGGUUUAAAGGGUGCGUAGGUGGGCAGGUAAGUCAGUGGUGAAAUCUCCGAGCUUAACUCGGAACUGCCGUUGAUACUAUCUAUCUUGAAUACCGUGGAGGUGAGCGGAAUAUGUCAUGUAGCGGUGAAAUGCUUAGAUAUGACAUAGAACACCAAUUGCGAAGGCAGCUCGCUACACGAAUAUUGACUCUGAGGCACGAAAGCGUGGGGAUCAAACAGG